rnacentral:rRNA from 1 species
GGACCCGCACAAGCGGUGGAGCAUGUGGUUUAAUUCGAUGAUACGCGAGGAACCUUACCAGGGCUUAAAUGUAGUGGGACAGGUCUAGAGAUAGACCCUUCUUCGGACUCAUUACAAGGUGCUGCAUGGUUGUCGUCAGCUCGUGCCGUGAGGUGUCAGGUUAAGUCCUAUAACGAGCGCAACCCCUAUCGUUAGUUGCCAGCGAGUAAUGUCGGGAACUCUAACGAAACUGCCAGUGCAAACUGUGAGGAAGGUGGGGAUGACGUCAAAUCAUCACGGCCCUUACGUCCUGGGCUACACACGUGCUACAAUGGCCGGUACAGAGAGCAGCCACUUCGCAAGAAGGAGCGAAUCUUUAAAACCGAUCUCAGUUCGGAUCGCAGUCUGCAACUCGACUGCGUGAAGCUGGAAUCGCUAGUAAUCGG